AGUGGGAUAACUGGGUCAAAUGGUGGUUCCAUUCCAAGUUUUAUAAGGAAUCUCCACACUGCUUUCCCAGAUUGGUUGUACCACUUUGCAGUCCCACCAGCAUU
rnacentral:pre_miRNA from 1 species